rnacentral:sRNA from 1 species
GGCAAUGUGGAUCUUGUCAGAUUCACUGAAAAGAGGUGAGGGGAGGUGAGGGACAGCGCGAACCAUGUCUGGACAGCGAGGGAGGGCUCAGGAUGCGCAUUGCCCUCCUGAGGAGUUUCUCUUCUCCCCUUACUCAGGUACAAAUCUAUUGUCAAGUACAAGACAGCUUUCUACUCCUUCUACCUUCCUAUAGCUGCAGCCAUGUACAUGGCAGGAAUUGAUGGCGAGAAGGAGCACGCCAAUGCCAAGAAGAUCCUGCUGGAGAUGGGGGAGUUCUUUCAGAUUCAGGAUGAUUACCUUGACCUCUUUGGGGACCCCAGUGUGACCGGCAAAAUUGGCACUGACAUCCAGGACAACAAAUGCAGCUGGCUGGUGGUUCAGUGUCUGCAACGGGCCACUCCAGAACAGUACCAGAUCCUGAAGGAAAAUUAUGGGCAGAAGGAGGCUGAGAAAGUGGCCCGGGUGAAGGCGCUAUAUGAGGAGCUGGAUCUGCCGGCAGUGUUCUUGCAAUAUGAGGAAGACAGUUACAGCCACAUUAUGGCUCUCAUUGAACAGUACGCAGCACCCCUGCCCCCAGCCGUCUUUCUGGGGCUUGCGCGCAAAAUCUACAAGCGGAGAAAGUGACCUAGAGAUUGCAAGGGCGGGGAGAGGAGGCUCUCAAUAAAUAAUCGUGUAACCUU